GACGAACGCUGGCGGCGUGCUUAACACAUGCAAGUCGAGCGGUAAGGCCCUUUCGGGGGUACACGAGCGGCGAACGGGUGAGUAACACGUGGGUGGACCUGCCCUCAGCUCUGGGAUAAGCCUGGGAAACCGGGGUCUAAUACCGGAUAUGACUCCAUGACGCAUGUUGUGGGGUGGAAAGCCUUGUGCGGCUGAGGAUGGGCCCGCGGCCUAUCAGCUUGUUGGUGGGGUGAUGGCCUACCAAGGCGACGACGGGUAGCCGGCCUGAGAGGGCGACCGGCCACACUGGGACUGAGACACGGCCCAGACUCCUACGGGAGGCAGCAGGUGGGGAAUCUUGCGCAAUGGGCGAAAGCCUGACGCAGCGACGCCGCGUGAGGGAUGACGGCC
rnacentral:rRNA from 1 species